GCUUGCACUCNGCUGACGACCGGCGCACGGGUGCGUAACGCGUAUGCAAUCUACCUCUUACUGAGGGAUAGCCCAUGGAAACGUGGAUUAAUACCUCAUANUAUUAUANACUGGCCUCAGUUUAUGAUUAAAGGUUACGGUAAGAGAUGAGCAUGCGUCCUAUUAGCUAGAUGGUAAGGUAACGGCUUACCAUGGCUACGAUAGGUAGGGGUCCUGAGAGGGAGAUCCCCCACACUGGUACUGAGACACGGACCAGACUCCUACGGGAGGCAGCAGUGAGGAAUAUUGGACAAUGGGCGAGAGCCUGAUCCANCCAUGCCGCGUGCAGGAAGACGGCCCUAUGGGUUGUAAACUGCUUUUACAGAGGAAGAACCCUCCUUACGUGUAAGGAGCUGACGGUACUCUAUGAAUAAGGAUCGGCUAACUCCGUGCCAGCAGCCGCGGUAAUACGGAGGAUCCAAGCGUUAUCCGGAAUCAUUGGGUUUAAAGGGUCCGUAGGCGGGUCUAUAAGUCAGUGGUGAAAGUCUGCAGCUUAACUGUAGAACUGCCAUUGAUACUGUAGACCUUGAAUUAGUAUGAAGUGGUUAGAAUGUGUAGUGUAGCGGUGAAAUGCAUANAUAUUACACAGAAUACCGAUUGCGAAGGCAGAUCACUAAUACUAUAUUGACGCUGAUGGACGAAAGCGUAGUAGCGAACAGGAUUAGAUACCCUGGUAGUCUACGCCGUAAACGAUGGUUACUAGCUGUCCGNCUAAUUGAGGGCUGGGUGGUUAAGCGAAGUGA
rnacentral:rRNA from 1 species